rnacentral:rRNA from 1 species
CCCGUCACACCAUGAGAGUUGGGAAUACCCGAAGCCUGUGAGCUAACUUUUUAAGAGGCAGCAGUCGAAGGUAGAAUCAAUGAUUGGGGUGAAGUCGUAACAAGGUAUC